UACGUAGGGGGCGAGCGUUAUCCGGAUUUACUGGGCAUAAAGCGCGCGUAGGCGGCCAAUUAAGUCAGAUGUUAAAUGUCUCAGCUCAACUGAGGCCUGCAUUUGAUACUGAUUGGCUAGAGGUGAGGAGAGGAAAGCGGAACUUACGGUGUAGCGGUGAAAUGCGUAGAUAUCGUAAGGAACAUCAGUUGCGAAGGCGGCUUUCUGGACUCAUUCUGACGCUAAGGCGCGAAAGCGUGGGGAGCAAACGGG
rnacentral:rRNA from 1 species